UACGGGGGGAGCAAGCGUUGUUCGGAUUUACUGGGCGUAAAGGGCGCGUAGGCGGUCAGCACAAGUCAGUUGUGAAAUCUCCGGGCUUAACUCGGAAAGGUCAACUGAUACUGUGCGACUAGAGUGCGGAAGGGGCAACUGGAAUUCUCGGUGUAGCGGUGAAAUGCGUAGAUAUCGAGAGGAACACCUGCGGCGAAGGCGGGUUGCUGGGCCGACACUGACGCUGAUGCGCGAAAGCCAGGGGAGAGAACGGG
rnacentral:rRNA from 1 species